rnacentral:lncRNA from 1 species
UGAGCAUUAAGGACCGUCAACAGAUGGGCAGACUACAAAGGAGAAGUGGUAAGGUCAGAAGACAUACAGCUUGAACAGAACUGUCCUGAGGAGACCGUAGCACCGAGUCAGGUGUGGAGAGAGAAGAUAGUUAUACACAAAGAGGACGCACCGUCGGAACCACCGACUACGCCAUCCAGCAAAUCCCAGGACGACUGAGAAAACGGAGAGUCCCGUUCGGAGGACUUAAAAACACCGAACACCUUGCCAAUAGAAUUCAAGGGUCAAAGAAGACUAGUAGACGGAGGACAUAGUAAUCGCUGUGAGGGUGCUGCCGACAUUCAAAUACACCUCCGUCACCUGCUAGCUACAUCAGAAGAAAUUACGUCAAAAUCCAGCUUGGGGGAGAGCACCCCCAUUUAUCCAGCUAAGUGUUCUACUCACGUUUAUACUUUACUCAAAUAAUAAAAAGAUACAUAAUCAUAAAAACCCAAAUAAAGAUUUUGUGUUGAUUGCUUAGUUUGCUAAAUAAAUAAAUAAAUAAAGUUUGCUAUGAACCCACAUGAUAAGCUUUCACAUGGAAAUGAUGAGUAGUUGCUCUGCCAUGACUAGUUCUCAAAAUUGAAAUCUCACUCAAGUUUAGGCAUAACUGUUAUAAUUUAAACCUGCUCUAAACCUGAACUUGUGGGAAGAGUACUUGAUCUAAAGUCUAAGUUGUUAACAGAUAUGAUAUGGGAAGGCUGAGCUGCUAUUUAUCUAUUACUAGAGAUGCUAGAAUUCUAGAGAAUUUUGUCUUUGAAAAUCUUUAAAAUGUUGCAUGAUAAGUUCCUGUAUGAUGAGAGUUUAAAUUCCUACCAUAGCCAUAUAUACAUGCUUGCUAGACUCUGAGCCACACAUUUACUUUUUACUGCUUAUGAGCAUUGAGUGUGGUCAAGCUGUGUAGACCCUUAGGAGCUUGUCAUGCGGUUAAAAUCAAGAUUUACUUGCACGUUCACUCAUACAUGCUACUUCUACUCCAGAAGUACGCAUCCACAUACAUCCACUCAUUUCCAUCUCCAGAUUCACCCAAAAGUAUUCUACUCCUAAUCCGGGAGAGAAUAGCCAAAAAAUUCUCCUAUUUAUGUUUUUCCCUAUGAAAUAAAUGCUCGAGUUAUCUUGGUUACUACCACUUGCUAUAUUAUUUUAGGAGAUGAUUGCUCUAGUAAAAAAAGAGAAAAGAAAAAAGAGAGAGAGAAAGAAUACGAGGAAAUAAAAAGGGGCAAGUGCCCGGAACCUCGAAGAAAAGAAAAAAUGAGACGAGAGGUAAAAAUGGACAACUGUCCGACAGUAGAAUUAGGGAUACAAGAUACCCACCUGAGAGGAAAGAAAAAGAAAAUAUAGAGCAUCUCAUUCUCCUCAAAAAGCUUUAAAGUGCAAGAAAGGUAUGUAUCCCCUAAAAAGAAUUAGACUUUCACCAUUGUUAUCACCAUCAUCACCAUACACCAUUCACUCGCCACACAUGCACAUCUUGAUUUGACUUAUUGACUUGUUUCUCUGGAUCCAUGGUUUGACUAUGCAAUAAACGUCUUGUAAGUAUGUAUACUUUAUCUCCCACCUAUGAGCUCCAGAUAUCAAAACCUUAUUAGAGUAGGAUGAGAGAGAAGGCAAUAUCACCACUACUACAAAAAAAAAUUAGGAGACAUUUUGUUUUGGGCCACCGAGGCGGCCGGCUGGCGGCCCGCCUCGGUUAACCUGGGCUGGGCUGCCAGCCAGGCGACCGUUAUGGAUAAUUCUUUAACCGUGGCGGUCACUGUAAGCGAACCGCCAUGGUUAAUCUGUCGUUAACCGUGACUGUUGUCUUAAGGAAACCGCC